UACGGAGGGUGCGAGCGUUGUCCGGAAUCAUUGGGCGUAAAGGGCGCGUAGGUGGCGGGAUAAGCGUGCGGUGAAAGCUCGGGGCUCAACCCCGAGUCGGCCGUGCGAACUAUUCUGCUUGAGCACUGUAGAGGCAGGCGGAAUUCCGGGUGUAGCGGUGGAAUGCGUAGAGAUCCGGAAGAACACCGGUGGCGAAGGCGGCUAUCUGGACGGUUACUGACGCUAAGACGCGAAAGCGUGGGGAGCAAACAGG
rnacentral:rRNA from 1 species